UGGGGAAUUUUGGACAAUGGGGGAAACCCUGAUCCAGCCAUCCCGCGUGUGCGAUGAAGGCCUUCGGGUUGUAAAGCACUUUUGGCAGGAAAGAAACGUCGCGGGUUAAUACCCCGCGAAACUGACGGUACCUGCAGAAUAAGCACCGGCUAACUACGUGCCAGCAGCCGCGGUAAUACGUAGGGUGCAAGCGUUAAUCGGAAUUACUGGGCGUAAAGCGUGCGCAGGCGGUUCGGAAAGAAAGAUGUGAAAUCCCAGAGCUUAACUUUGGAACUGCAUUUUUAACUACCGGGCUAGAGUGUGUCAGAGGGAGGUGGAAUUCCGCGUGUAGCAGUGAAAUGCGUAGAUAUGCGGAGGAACACCGAUGGCGAAGGCAGCCUCCUGGGAUAACACUGACGCUCAUGCACGAAAGCGUGGGGAGCAAACAGGAUUAGAUACCCUGGUAGUCCACGCCCUAAACGAUGUCAACUAGCUGUUGGGGCCUUCGGGCCUUGGUAGCGCAGCUAACGCGUGAAGUUGACCGCCUGGGGAGUACGGUCGCAAGAUUAAAACUUAAAUGAAUUGACGGGGGUCA
rnacentral:rRNA from 1 species